CCAAAGGCCCUUUUCAGGGCCGCCCACAAAGUCGUUUAAAGGGCUG
rfam:Tupaia chinensis contig173115, whole genome shotgun sequence.